rnacentral:rRNA from 1 species
GUGAGGAAUAUUGGUCAAUGGGCGGGAGCCUGAACCAGCCAAGUCGCGUGUAGGAAGAAGGAUCUAUGGUUCGUAAACUUCUUUUGCAGGGGAAUAAAGUGCAGGACGUGUCCUGUUUUGUAUGUACCCUGAGAAUAAGGAUCGGCUAACUCCGUGCCAGCAGCCGCGGUAAUACGGAGGAUCCGAGCGUUAUCCGGAUUUAUUGGGUUUAAAGGGUGCGUAGGUGGUUUGAUAAGUCAGCGGUGAAAGUUUGCAGCUUAACUGUAAAAAUGCCGUUGAAACUGUCGGACUUGAGUGUAAAUGAGGUAGGCGGAAUGCGUGGUGUAGCGGUGAAAUGCAUAGAUAUCACGCAGAACUCCGAUUGCGAAGGCAGCUUACUAAGCUACAACUGACACUGAAGCACGAAAGCGUGGGGAUCAAACAGGAUUAGAAACCCUAGUAGUCC